rnacentral:rRNA from 1 species
UACAGAGGUGGCAAGCGUUGUUCGGAAUUACUGGGCGUAAAGCGUGCGCAGGCGGUUGUGCAAGACAGAUGUGAAAUCCCCGGGCUCAACCUGGGAACUGCAUUUGUGACUGCACGGCUGGAGUGCGGCAGAGGGGGAUGGAAUUCCGCGUGUAGCAGUGAAAUGCGUAGAUAUGCGGAGGAACACCGAUGGCGAAGGUAAUCCCCUGGGCCUGCACUGACGCUCAUGCACGAAAGCGUGGGGAGCGAAACAAGGAUUGA